rfam:Otolemur garnettii contig020130, whole genome shotgun sequence.
GCCAGGCACUGUAGCACGUGCCUGUAGUCCCAGCUACUCAGGAGACUGAGACAGGAGGAUCACUUGAUUCCUGGAGUUCUGGGCUAUAGUGUGCUAUGCCAAUCGGGUGUCUGCACUAAGGUCAGCAUAAAUAUGGUGACCUCCUGGGAGCAGGGGGCCACCAGGUUGCCUAAGGAGGGGUGGACCAGCCCAAGUCGGAAAUGGAGCAGGUCAAAGCUCCCGUGCUGAUCAGUAGCGGGAUUACUCUUGUGAAUAGUGACUGCACUCCAGCCUGGGCAAAAUAGUGAGAACCUGUCUCUA